AUGAGAAGGCUGUGAUUUACCUGUGGUGGGCGUUGGGGGGGGGGGGGUGGCUCCAGGAAGAGUGACUGGCACCGUCCCAGAAGCUUUACCCCCUCAGCCUAGAACUUGCCCUGCCUCCUCUCAGCUCAGGACACUUGAUGCUCAGCGCAGGCUGGUGGAGGACUGAGAUAGCACGAACAAUAACAAGGGUGGGCCAGAGUGAGCCUCUCUGCAUCGUGACCCUAUUCAGUUGUCCACGACUCAGAUCAGCACCCAGGGCUCCAACUCAUUAGAGACUUAGUUGAACUUCUGGUUAUAGACAUAAGGCAGCGCAUAGUGAAAAAGAGCCCUAGCCUAAGAAAGUUAGAAAUCUUGGGCCCAGUGUCCGCUGUCAGUCUGUGUGACAGAGCAAAGUCUGUCAGCGUCUCUAAUUUCCUGAUUUGUAGCAUUGGGGAGUCGAGGUGUCUACUUUGAGAUUUAUGUUCAAUAAUAAAUUAUGACCUAGGCAAAUAGCAGAGCAAGGCUGUGCCUUGCCGAUGUCUUGCUAACUGGCUCAUUUUUCCUUAAUUUACCCACCCAGUGUGAUACCAAGUUUAGGGGACGAUUAGAGUGUCGUAUAAAACUCUCCCUUGGAGAAUUUGUGCUUCCUAACCUUUCUGAACUGUUCUUAAUUGGCCUCAAGCUUUUCGUCUGAGAGACUUCUGUCUGUCUUUCCUACUGACUACUUUUGCCCUGCUACCUCUUAUGUUUCAGAAUUAAAGGAGGACUAGUAAUGUAGAAAUAUCCACAACCUGUUCCUCUCCCUGACCUUGCCCUGCCAUUUGCCUAGAGCUGUGGUAUAAAAUUUUUUUCAAAGGCUGAAAUACAAAUAGGAAAAACAUUGUGAAAAAUGCGAAGCACUGAAGUGAUAAAAGCAAUAGCUUGGAGAUGUAAAUAACCUGCUCUCAUCCUUGUUGUGUGUCAUCAGUGUUAGUUAAUUAUUAUAUAUUAACAUAUUUCUAAUACAAGUUGCAUUGAAAAAUGAAACAGUGAUAGGGCAAACCUUUUGAAUUUCAAACACAUUUAUAUUAACAACCUCUGUCUUAGAAAAGAAACACGGAGAACAAGUUUCAAGGCGUUUUUGUACAGUAAAGCCACCUGUCAGCCCAUUAGACUCAUUAAAGUGCUUUGACACUCCUCUCCCCCUUUCUGACUUUGAUUGUGCAAACAUGGUGUAUGACCCGCAAGGAUUAUUCAGAUUCUACUUAAUGAUGACCCUCUUACAACUUGCAUGCCUCAGAUGAAAAUUCUAUGGCCCUGAUGUUUUCCUCUUGAGAACGCAUUUGCUGUAAUAAAAGACCGUGACUGCGUGAGCGCCGUAGACCUUUGUGGAGUCCGGGUAAAUCGAAAGAGUUUGCUUGCUCCAGGAACACACAGUUCUACGUGUCAAAUGAAGCUGAAGUAUUUGUACGGGGCUGCAACUGGUGUUUUGUUGGAUUACACUUACGUGUGGCCUGAUCUUCCAAUAAUGUUGAAAAUGGCCUUUAAAAAAUAAACUUGGAGUGGAUAUGAUCUUCAGAGAAACAUUUCCUGUAUUAAUUAAACUUUCAUUUCUCACUGUGAAUGCUUUGAUCUCAUAAUACUUUUAAAACGUCCCGAGGGCUUAUUUUCAAAGCUUUCGUACAAAUUAUUUCUCAAAAGCCAUAAUAUAUUCAUGGCUCAGUGAAUCCUAAAGACAGUAUUUCUAAACCCCUGUUAAGUUUUUCUUCGUGUGCUAGUCUGCUGCAAAAUUUCCUUUGCUGUGGGUCACGUGGUUCCUCCCGUCCAAAAUACAAGCACUUAGAAUUUUUACUUCCUGAUUGAGCCAUCGGAUUAUGUAAAAUGUAAAUCAGUCUAAAUACCUAACAACAGGAAUUUUAAGGGAGAAAUGCUGCUUUCUUUUUCUGUUUUACUCUCAAUGCCUAAAAAACUAGAGUGUGUGCUUCCCUGUGUGUAUUUGGAAACAUGAGACUGUCAGGGAUUUUUUUCUGUCCCGUCCCUUUCAGAUCAAGUCCGAGUUUGCUUUCAUUAUAAAAAUAACGUACCGACGAGAUAGACUGUGGGAGUCAGUACAGUUACAGGACUGAAAUCAUCAAAGCGGUUCCGAUUACAGAGAGAGCUAUGUACUUGUCAGUCUUUUCAUGAUCUGAACGAGGAGUACAGCAUCUCUCAAAGGUAACGACUUGAUAUUUUGGAAUUGUAAAUGGUCAUUUAGCGCUUCUGCUGCCUCAUACAAGUUACAGUAAUUUCUAGCAGGCUGGAUGACACUUGUUUUGUCAUGGAUCUUAAAAUCCCUUGCGUUUUCCCACAACAGUUUUGAAGUUGUCAUAGUAACAGCAUGAUGUUUGGAGGGUCUUUUUAGUAGUUCUUUAGCUUGAGUGAGUUAAUUUUAUUAACUGUGGAUGUUUUUCUUUUCACUCCUCUCUGGCAAACAGGGGCUAGCAUUGCUCAAAUAUGUAUUUCAUGUUCUUUAUUUCUUGAUGACUAGAGUUAAAGGACUUGGUGUUUUCUAAGUUGUUUCAAGGAGGGAGCAAGAAUGUUAUCGAUUGAUUCCAGAUAGGUUAAACUUGGAUUUUUAGAUACUUCUCUGUAAAAGGCACUACCAGUAGGGAUUUAGUUUUGUUUAAAGAGGUGAGUUAUGGGAGAUGUUCCCCAAAAUGUGGUGGUGACUAACCUCCAGGUGUUAACAGCCAUCCUUUGCUUUGAUUCUGCUCUACAUGGAAUAAGAGUUGAGGAACACAGAAGGAAAUCCGUCAGACUUACAGGAGAAGAUUACUCCUUUAAAAAUGCAGCACUCAAAUACAACACCACAAGCAUGUUCCACAAGAUGAGGGAGGAGGGUAAAUCUGACUAUCAGAAUUUAAAACUUCAGUACUCUUGGAAACUAAAAAAUGCUGAAAUAAAUUAUCCUCUAAGAAAGUUUGUGGGCAUUUUUUAUUGGGAGAAAGUAGGUCAGGAUCUCCUGUAAGUAAACCUCUGUGGCAGAAAUGCUUGCCAACAUGGCGAUCGGGGAGAGGGACAGCCCUUCUUUCGGGCAGGAAGAGGGUCAGAGGAAAAAACGGUCUGUACUAGGUCUGGACGCUGGGGCUUUAAAAAGUGUCCCAUGUUUGAUGCUUGUGUUUUCUUGUAAAAGUGAUCAGAGAGAAGUGACACGUGUGAAAGGUGUCCUGUGAGUUCCGCAGGUGCCGUGCUGAUGCCAGUGUCCUUUCUACAGCGGGGUGGUAGCAGCCUGUGCAGCCAGCAGCAGCGGAGGUGCUAAUGCACGGCCAGUGAUGUCAGGAGUUACGAGACAGUGGUUUCAAAACACUGCAGUAAACAAGGUCAAAGUGUCCCGUUUUGCUGGAAGACGUUUUGUUUUUAUGGGCUGGGCAGUACACGGAUGAAGUGCUUUCAAAACAAACAUUCAGCUUGUUUGUUUGUUUGUGUUUUUACAUUUUGAUUUUAAAAAUUAACCAGAUGAGAUUUAGUAAGGGUUGCAUUUUUAAGCAGAGUUAUACUGUUUUUCCUGUUUUUAUUUUACUUUCUCAAAAAAAAAAACCCUUCAGUUUUUACAGAGGAAUGAAAAUACCUCUGAUCUUAAAUGCAGUUUCAGGGGGCAAGCUAGGACCCAGUACACAGCAGAUGCCAAUCACAGUCAGCAGUGAGACAUCCUUCUAAUUUUGUACCUUUUGCUCUUAUUUAAAUAAGCAUUUAAAUACGAGAAAGUUAAUGACGCAGAAUAGUGCUGACUGCGUGGUUCUCGUCUUAAUGCAUUUUCCAACCUUGAACCUGAGAAUACCAGAGGCUCGAGUCUCUGGACACUCGUUGGAGCAGUUAUCUGCUGGUGGCCUGGUUCCUGAGGUGACGAGCGGGUGUCCCGGGCGCAUGUGGUGACAACAGGAGUGGUGCCAGCAUGGCGCCCAGAGGUCGCCUCAGUCUGUGCCGGGGAUCCCUGGUCCUCGGGGCUUCGAGAGGAACUGUGAACUCCAGGCAUCCGAGGACGUGCAGGCAUUUGGGAGUUCCACGCAAACCUGGAUGUAAGCGCAGGCACCGCUUUUAAAGUGAAAGCAGGGCCCUGAGGAAGGAAUUACCCUCGCCUUGUUCCCGACCUGCUUACUGUGUUGGAAAACAAAGUAAGUUUUGUUUGUUUCUUUCUUAGUCACUGCUCUACAUGUUUUUUCUUGCUAACAUUAUUAGACACCCAGUACCUGACAAAUGCCAAGUGUUUUUCCCCUUCGUUAGGAAGGAGGAUAUGAAGUUUGUUAAAUAGCUAAUUGCUUCUUUGAUCUUUUCUGUCUUCCUGUAUCUAGCAUGCUGGCUUGCUUGUUAAGAGAUAGCAAGAGACUGAAAUGUAUUAUCAGUGAGAAAACAAAAGUUUUUUUUUUUAAUGGUUCAAGAACUUUGACAUUAAUUGAAUGACAAUGACACAGACAAGGCUGUUUCUGUGCCAGGAGCACAUC